AUGUAGGCCUGGGAUAUCAUACAAGGCAUAACAUGCAAUUCAACCGAACUUUGAUGGAUCUUUUAAUGCUGACAAACUGUCGAACAGCUGAUCAACAAAAAUGCCAAGGUUGUCAAGAUGCACAGAGGAUCUUUGCCACCUUCUUGGUUCUGAAUGACAUGGACGUGACCGGAUGGACGAUGGCGCAGUACCGGUCUACACUCAGCACGGCCAGGGUUAGGCAGGUCGCCUGCACGGUCACCUGUAGACCUGCAUCAUGUAGCUGACAAACUUGCACAUGAACAGCCCCAGUUCCCACUCGAACGUGACGUGUUUGACGGCGCUGAACGGGAGACAGCAGAUGAGGAAGGCGAGGUCCGUGACGGCCAGGUUGGAGAUGUAGUAGUUGGUGACG